GAUAAGUGCUCCGCUGUGAGAACUGAAUUCCAUAGAUGGUGGCAUGUAAAGAUGUCAUCUAUGGAUCCAGUUCUUUUGGCUUGGUACUGGUUUGUCGAGC
ensembl:miRNA